UGGGGAAUUUUGGACAAUGGGCGCAAGCCUGAUCCAGCCAUUCCGCGUGCAGGACGAAGGCCUUCGGGUUGUAAACUGCUUUUGUACGGAACGAAAAGCCCUUCUCUAAUACAGAGGGGUCAUGACGGUACCGUAAGAAUAAGCACCGGCAAACUACGUGCCAGCAACCGCGGUAAUACGUAGGGUGCAAGCGUUAAUCGGAAUUACUGGCCGUAAAGCGUGCGCAGCGGUUUGCUAAGACAGAGGUGAAAUCCCCGGGCUCAACCUGGGAACUGCCUUUGUGACUACAAUGAUUGAGUGCGGCAGUGGGGGAUGGAAGUCCGCGUGUAGCUGUGAAAUGCGUAGAUAUGCGGGGGAACACCGAUGGCGAAGGCAAUCCCCUGGGCCUGCACUGACGCUCAUGCACGAAAGCGUGGGGAGCAAACA
rnacentral:rRNA from 1 species